AUUGAACGCUGGCGGCAGGCCUAACACAUGCAAGUCGAGCGGUAACAUUUCUAGCUUGCUAGAAGAUGACGAGCGGCGGACGGGUGAGUAACGCGUGAGAAUCUGGCUGUGGGUCGGGGACAACCACUGGAAACGGUGGCUAAUACCGGAUGAGCCGAAAGGUAAAGAUUUAUUGCCCACAGAUGAGCUCGCGUCUGAUUAGCUAGUUGGUAAGGUAAAAGCGUACCAAGGCGACGAUCAGUAGCUGGUCUGAGAGGAUGAGCAGCCACACUGGGACUGAGACACGGCCCAGACUCCUACGGGAGGCAGCAGUGGGGAAUUUCCGCAAAUGGGCGAAAAGCCUGACGGAGCAAGACCGCGUGGGGGAGGAAGGUUUUUGG
rnacentral:rRNA from 1 species